CUUAAUUUUUCUUUCAUCAGUUUAACCAAAACAAACUUAUCUACCUUCUCUCUCUUCCUCAUCAUCGUCAUUUUCGCCAUUAUUAUCAUUCGGCAUCAUCGUCAUCGUCGUCGGAGCUCGAGCUCAGUGGGAUGUUGUUAUUGAUGCUGGUUUAUCUUGUUUGAGUAGCUUCUAUAGAGGGUCCAAGUGAAUUUUAUACAACCUGUAUUAUGCGCAUAAAUUGGAAGUGUAAUAUUCCAUUAAUGGAGUCACGAAGAUCUUAAAUUAUUCCAAAAGUUGAGCGAUGAAACCAAAUUACUGGAUUUCAUGAUACAUAAAGAUGUUUUGAAGAAUGGGAUUGAGGUUAAGCUACAACUGAAUGUGCUGAGUGUGCUAGAACCACCUACGGGACACGAGGAAGAUGAUGAGCUUCAUCACUCCAGCUGCAGCUCUGAUCUUGGCGAGAAGGACCAUGAAUUUGGUAAGCUACAUCUGUUUCGGCAAAGUCAAAUCAUCGGAAUUGCUUGAAGGAAUGACACUCCAACAUUCAUACCUCUCACUGUAGGCUGAACUUUGCUAAGCUUGGUAGUGACUCACCGUGGAGGUAGUAUUUGAGCAGAUUUCAUCUAGUCAGUAUACUAUACUCCCUUUUCGAUCUCUUUUAACAGUCUAGAAAUUCCACAUUAUAUUGUUACCUAAAUCUUCUUGUACUAAGUUAAGUUAACCAAAAAAGUAUACUAUACAGGGGAGCAUGAAUUCUAGCUUAAUUAACAUUGUGCAGCGCCACUUUGCUUCACAUGUACGGUUUCUCUUUGGGAAUUUCUCUUUGUAUGUCACUCAGAAGCGGGCAGAUCAUUACAAUUACUAAUAUUUUGAUUUAUCUUGAAAUAUCAUAAAGUUGACGAAGUACAAGUGAUUUCGGAAUUCAUUUGUGCUGCCAAGACACUAAGGAGUGGCAACAGAAGUAGGGAGUGAAAAAAAUGAAGAUAUUUCACGUGUUGAUCACAAAACCUUGUCUUUUUAACCUUAGUAAUUAAAAUCAGAAAUUACAAAAUUUUCUUUUUUUCUUUUAUUGGCCUUAGGAUCUACUCUGUUCUUCUUUAUGGUAUGUGAGAAUGCAGUUGAGAUGUGGUUGCUAGAAACCACAUUCAUGCAAUUUUAAUGUGAUAGUAUUUGCGGUAUUUUUUAAAAUUUUGUAUAUUAGCUCCACAAAUCAUACCCACCCGCCGUCUCUGCACGUUGCCGGUGUUCUCACUUUUUAAUAUCCGUUGUAAAAUAAAAUAAUAUAGACACUAUUGUACAUUGUAAAAUAUAAUGUAACGUAUUUGUGUGAUUGCAUUUCA